GAACAGGAGGAGGAGGAGGAGGAGGAGGGUUUGUGUUUUACUGAAUGGAAGCGAAAAAACCUCCUCGGGACGGCGCGAAGGCUGAAUCCGGCUGGCUGAGCCUCUUCUCUCGGCUGGGCCCAGUGCCCCGAGCAGCCGAAGACCCCGAGACCCCCUCCCCCUCCAGCUGGCAGGUGGCAAAGAACACCUUGAAUUGCACUGAGAAACAUAAAAGCAAUCAAGUCAGCUUGAACAGAGUAGCAUAGCUGUACCAUGUGUGACCCUCAGCAUGUGUGCUACUUGUUUUGGGUCAGCAAAGAUCAACUUCAGAAGUCUAUGCUGUGCACAUAACUGGAAGUAUAUUUGUGCAGGUCCACCCAGUCAGAAGACUACAAUUCUUUUUUCUGGGCAAGACUACUCUUUUGAAAGUCCUAUGGCAUUUUCCUGAAAUAGUUGGUCAUGUGUAUAUUGGCCAUGCUUAAAUUGGGACUAUUAUAUCACUCCACUAUGGAGUGACAAUAGAGAACGGAAUCCUUUGGGAUUUCAUAGUUUCUUUAUGAGAGGUCAAUUGACUGAGGUCUUGAAUGCUGCUUGGCACAUAUUCUAACAAGUCUAGAGCACUCCUCUUUUACUUAAUGUGGGUGGAGCUCAAAUGAUCUCAGCAGUGAGAUCAGUGAUUCAGUCAGGAAAUAAUCCUUCCUAGGUUUCCUUCCAAAGCAAAAUCCUUCUGUGCUGGGAACAAACCAUUACUUGUUUUACAGUCACACUCAUGUCCUAGGCAGCAUCAGUAAACCUCUCCACAAUUUGGCUUUAGAUUUUUCCAGAUUUUUCUGUGUCCAGUAAAUACAUUCUUUCUGCAUAGCUCUACUGCUGGAUCUUCCUACUCACUGUUAACCACAAACCACUCAUGAAACUCAUAAAAUUAUCUCUCCUCUCUGUUUCAUUUUUUUCUUCUCAUUAUAAAUCUCUCAAAGGCAUUUAAAAGUCCACAAAGUGUUAAUGUAAUGAAUUGUGCUCUGUUUCAAAAGCAAGUGCAUAUACAUGAUUCUUCCUCUGUAUUAAAAAAAAAUAAUACCCACAAAUUUAUUCAGUAUCAAAUACUUUCUCCGAAGAUAUGAAUAU